UACGAAGGGGGCUAGCGUUGCUCGGAAUUACUGGGCGUAAAGAGCUCGUAGGUGGUUUGUCGCGUUGUUCGUGAAAACUCACAGCUUAACUGUGGGCGUGCGGGCGAUACGGGCAGACUGGAGUACUGCAGGGGAGACUGGAAUUCCUGGUGUAGCGGUGGAAUGCGCAGAGUAUCAGGAGGAACACCGGUGGCGAAGGCGGGUCUCUGGGCAGUAACUGACGCUGAGGAGCGAAAGCGUGGGGGAGCGAACAGG
rnacentral:rRNA from 1 species